GAUGAAGAACGCAGCGAAAUGCGAUAAGUAAUGUGAAUUGCAGAAUUCAGUGAAUCAUCGAAUCUUUGAACGCACAUUGCGCCCGCCAGUAUUCUGGCGGGCAUGCCUGUCUCAGCGUCAUUUCAACCCUCAUGCCCCUAGGGCGUGGUGUUGGGGAUCGGCCAAAGCCCGCGAGGGACGGCCGGCCCCUAAAUCUAGUGGCGGACCCGUCGUGGCCUCCUCUGCGAAGUAGUGAUAUUCCGCAUCGGAGAGCGAUGAGCCCCUGCCGUUAAACCCCCAACUUUCCAAGGUUGACCUCAGAUCAGGUAGGAAUACCCGCUGAACUUAAGCAUAUCAAUAAGCGGAGGA
rnacentral:misc_RNA from 1 species